rnacentral:rRNA from 1 species
AGUGAACGCUGGCGGUAGGCCUAACACAUGCAAGUCGAACGGCAGCACAGUAAGAGCUUGCUCUUACGGGUGGCGAGUGGCGGACGGGUGAGGAAUACCUCGGAAUCUACUUUUUCGUGGGGGAUAACGUAGGGAAACUUACGCUAAUACCGCAUACGACCUAUGGGUGAAAGCAGGGGAUCUUCGGACCUUGCGCGAUUGAAUGAGCCGAUGUCGGAUUAGCUAGUUGGCGGGGUAAAGGCCCACCAAGGCGACGAUCCGUAGCUGGUCUGAGAGGAUGAUCAGCCACACUGGAACUGAGACACGGUCCAGACUCCUACGGGAGGCAGCAGUGGGGAAUAUUGGACAAUGGGCGCAAGCCUGAUCCAGCCAUACCGCGUGGGUGAAGAAGGCCUUCGGGUUGUAAAGCCCUUUUGUUGGGAAAGAAAAGCAGCAGGUUAAUACCCCGCUGUUCUGACGGUACCCAAAGAAUAAGCACCGGCUAACUUCGUG